CCUGCGUAGCAUCAGCUAGUUGGUGGGGGUAAUGGCCUACCAAGGCGAAGACGCUUAGCUGGUCUGAGAGGAUGAUCAGCCACACUGGGACUGAGACACGGCCCAGACUCCUACGGGAGGCAGCAGUGGGGGAAUAUUGGACAAUGGGCGCAAGCCUGAUCCAGCCACGCCGCGUGAGUGAUGAAGGCCUUCGGGUCGUAAAGCUCUGUGGGGAGGGACGAACGGCGCCAUGAAGAGUGGCGAUUGACGGUACCUCCUUAGCAAGCACCGGCUAACUUCGUGCCAGCAGCCGCGGUAAUACGAAGGGUGCAAACGUUGCUCGGAAUCAUUGGGCGUAAAGCGCACGUAGGCGGCUUUCUAAGUCGGAUGUGAAAUCCCUCGGCUUAACCGAGGACGUGCAUCCGAAACUGGGAGGCUUGAGUAUGGAAGAGGGUCGCAGAAUUCCCGGUGUAGAGGUGAAAUUCGUAGAUAUCGGGAGGAAUACCAGUGGC
rnacentral:rRNA from 1 species